ACCGGUGGUAGCUCAGUCGGGUGAGCGCCCGCAUCUCACGCCAGAGAUGCGGGUUCGAAUCCCGGCGCUGACA
rnacentral:tRNA from 1 species